rnacentral:rRNA from 1 species
UACGGGGGGACAAGCGUUGUUCGGAAUUACUGGGCGUAAAGGGCUCGUAGGCGGCCAACUAAGUCAGACGUGAAAUCCCUCGGCUUAACCGGGGAACUGCGUCUGAUACUGGAUGGCUUGAAUCCGGGAGAGGGAUGCGGAAUUCCGGUGUAGCGGUGAAAUGCGCAGAAUAUCAGGAGGAACACCGAUGGCGAAGGCAGGUCGUCUGG